GUCUCUCCUGAGUCCUCUUCCUGUUCAGCUGUUUAAUAUCAAAGACCUGGCUGAAGUGAUGGAAUGUGCUCUCAUUAAGUUCAGCUGUACUGAGUAUACUUGAGGUGAAGGCAACUAAGAGGAGCCUCUGUAGGCUGGAGGAAGGCUGGGAAAUUUGGCAACGACAUGUGCAAAAUCCAGCACCUAAGCUGAGGAGGACCUGGAGGUUCUGGCUGACAGUAGGCUAAACAUGAGCCAGUGUGAGUCCAGGCUUUGCUGCAUUCAGGAAAGGAUUACUCUGCAGCAGCUAUCAGUAUCACGAAUGUUACUACAGUUACAGCCUGGCUUCAUUCUUUCUCUAUUUUCAACUUGAUUGUCAUUUCGAAGCUUGUGAAAACUGCUCUGGGAUACAAGAGAAAUAUACCUAGAAGUAAGUGUUCAUUUACUAGUAUGAUUCACUGCUGCCUACAGGAAACAGGAGAGACUGUUGUAACUGUGUCACAGAGUUGACAGUGUACAGAAAUUAACCCAUGGUGUGUAAAUGACUACGAAGGAACCAUGGUUAGCUCUGAGCUCUCCAUGAAGCCCGCAAUUAAUUGCUUAUUUUGUGACAUUGACAAAUUUGGUCUCUGUGGACCUCUCCAAUUUCUUUCCCUCUCCAAGCCAGAAGUGAAUGUUAGAUGAAUAGUGCAAAUCAAGCACCUGGAGCUAGGAUGUCUGAAGUCUGUCUGCAAAAAUGAGCACUUGGCAUGUAGCUGUCACUUGUUAAACCAAGAGGAAAACACUGAGGUUGCGAAAAUCCUAUAUAUCACCUAGCCAACAGUGCAAUCCUAAAAUUAAGCACUUGCACAUCUUCUGCUGAGUUUGAAAGUAAUGGGGAAACAGUCUCUGUACCUUGUGAUACCUAGAAGAAUGCUCCAAGGCUGUUAAGUAAAGGGUAAUUUCUUCUCCUUUAAGUAUAUUAUAAAAGCAAGACAUGGCUUGCAACUGAUUUUUGUGUGUUAGCUACAGAAGCAUCUGUCUCAGAAACAUAUAUUGCUUCAAAAGUACACAGGUACACAGAAAUGAAUUGCACUGAGCACCAUGUAAGACUAAUUGAACAGACCCCCAGGGUUCUGGUCUCAAGCAGGGUAGAAGCAUGGUCUAGAUGCUGAGUUGCUCAGUGCAGUCAGGAUUUGGGUGGAGGAGCUGCUUUCAA